AGUUUCUGAGGUUUGGAAUAUUCAAACACACACAACUAUUGGAGUGAUAAAUAAUUGGAGACUUCUCUCCGUUGGUUAAACAGAGUACUUUUGCCCUUCCGUCUUUUUCAUCCUUGAACUUUAAAGACUAUCCAGAGGGGAUAAGGAGAUGUUUACGCUACUGCCAAGUGAGAUAAACUAUGGGCGUUUCUUCUUUUUAGGCACUAAAAAAAGAACAAUUAUUUCUAGAAACUAAAAAAAAGACAGAGAGAAGGAAAGGAAGGAAGAAUGGACGGCAGUUGCCUGGUUCGUGGUAUCAAGAUCUGUGCCGUCCAGAGGAAACGACACGAUAGCUACAGAAGAUGGACAAAAGGUGGAAGUGUUGUGAGUGACUGAUGCGGCCAACUUAAGAAGAAAAGUCCCCUUUUCUAGGCCUGUUUUUCCUUUGCAAGGAACCAACAGAGUUUCUCUUCUCCACCUCGGCCCUUCAUCUUACCCCAGGAAGAAUCACCCAGAAACAUUCAGAGCCCUCCCCAAGACUGGUUUUCCAUAGGAUUGGGAAGAAGGUUGGAGAAAUUAUUUGCAGCCAACAUCCCAGCAACCUGGAGCCCCUGAAAUGGUCGUGACUGCCCCAACGAUCAAAACUUCUGUGGACAGCUGUGAAAGCAAAAGAGAAGACUGACCUGAGAAGGACAUUUUGUCCCCUGACUGUUGGUACAGAAUACCUGAGGCAGGAUGUGUGUGUCCAGAGGACACAGCCUGCCAUGUCUGAGGCUAUCCUUCUGCCUAGCAGCCCGGGUUGUGGGGUAAGAGCUGAGGCUGGAUUGGAGAAAUUAGAAUACACUAUAUCUUUUUUCCUUUUGACAGUGCAACCUCUUCCUAGGGAAGGCUCAAAAACCUUGGAUAUCAUAUCAUUCCACAAAAGGAAAGUUUGCUGAGUUUGUUUUUAAUAUAUCAGAAACAUAUGUAUUAAAUUCCGUUAAAAUGCAGAGAACUUUUUAGUAUCAUAGAACUUAGUAAAUAUUUUCCACUUUAAAGUUGUGUCCUUUGACAAGUCAGAGAACACGUCUUUGGUUUCUGUCCCGUAUAUGAGAUAAAUACCACAAAUGUGUUUUGGAAAAGAAAGCAAAUUUAAAAAAGGAAAUAAAGCAAGCCAAAGACCCAUCACAAUUACUACAACAGAAUGAAGAACAAUUGGGUGUAGCAAGAAGGAACUCUUCCUUAGAUCCUAGUAGAUGUGCCGUGGGUAUGGUAAAAGCAUAACGAAACUAGCAAUUUCCACUGGACACUGUGGAGGGGAUGGGGAGAGAAACGGAGAGGGAGGAUGGUGCCUGCUGACUGGAAAGGCCUUACUCCUGCCCUUGGGUUAAGGCUUCCUGGGAGGCCUUCACAUACCACCAAGGAGUUCCAUCCAGGGAUUAUCCAGUUUCCCAUGAUGAUGUUUAAUUUGGGGGUUUUCUCAAUUUUUGAGCCUGAGUCUCUGUUUAUGACUGAGUUCGUGCCAAAUUGUGUUACUUUCCCUGUACCUGGCUAACAGGAGAAGAUCGUUAGUAGACCUGACACAUAAGAGACACGCUGGUAGCAUGCAAAGGCCGAGGAGUUGCACAGGCAGCUGUGGAAGGAGGAUUCACAGAGAAGCAGUAAGAAAUUGGGUCAUCAACCAGCACUCAGUGGCUUGGGCAUGGGGACCCACGAGAACCUGCUGUAGCCUAUGCUCUUGAAGAGCUGAGAUUCAGUUUCAGCAAAACGUCACCAGCUGUCACAUUACGUUAGUGUUCAUUUGAAUUGCACUGGUUUUGUGAUUUCGUUUUCAUUUAAAGUUAUUCUUACUUUAUUGUUGCCUAAGUUGUAUGUAUAUAAGGAGCUAAUAUAUAAAAAUCAUAUUAUAGUAUUUAAACGACAUAAUAAAAAUAGUCUAAGUCAACACUGGA
ensembl:lncRNA